UUUUUGACCAAGUUUUGUUUGACAAUAUUUCACUUGGGAUGACACAAGCAUUCUGGAAAACACUCCCUAAAUCUUGGCUCUUUUCUCAUCUUCCAUGCUUGAUGUUCUAACUGUCCUGGCACUUCUUGUCCAGAAAGGUCCUCCUUCAACAUGCAAUUUCUCAAAGUACUGACUUUGAGUAUGUUCUAGUACAAGACCUCUUUGCUGCUUCUACUCAGCCACAAUCAUCAUCAUCAUCACUGGAGUGUUCAACUUCUGAGGCAAGAACUGAAUACUCUUUUUUAGUACUAGAAUGGUUAACAGCUGACAUGAUAUUUUUAAGUUAGCUAUGUCAAUUAUUAUGUCAAUAUUUCAACUUUUCCACUGGCUUGGGAAUUUAGUGCUGCCUUUGUUGCUUUUCCAUUUUAAUGUUCUGAACCCUCUUGAGCAACAUCCCCCUGCCUCCGCUCUCACAUUUUCCCCUUUGUUCAGCUUUUUAAGAAACCACUUGCACUUGUAUUGUGAGUGUAAUCUAUGCCAGAAAUAUUAGCUGUAGAUUUUAUAGCUGUAUAAAAUCUGGUAUAAAUAUCACAGCUCAGUCUUAAUUACCAAAUUUUUCAAUAUACCUCUAGUGUCAAUGAUUACACUAUUUAAAAUAUGAGCAGGUCAGUUGUGGUACAGCAUUUUCUCAUUUGGAGAGAUUUUCUUGGACUACAGAUGCUUUGGAGAAAUUAGUAUCUGAAACCCGGACUGUCCAACUGGAAUGUUUCUUAAUUACAACAAAGAACAAGCUGUUUUUGUCAGCUGGGACUUCUAAGAAUGGAGUUGCUCCCUUCAUCAUUGCUUUGAUAAACAGAUGGCCUGUGGCCACUUCAGUAUGGAGCAUAUAAUGGCUGGGAAUGGAGCUGGUUCAAUGCAGGAACUGCCUUCUUGUCGACCUCCACGGCAGAAACAACCUACAGGCAACAGUGUUGGGCCUCUCACUAUAAGAAAGACAUUGAGGUGCUGAAGCAUGUCCAGAGAAGAGCAACAAAGCUGGUGAAGGGUCUAAAGAACAAGUCCUGCAAGGAGUAAUGAGGGAGCUGUGGGUGUGUAACCUGGAGAAAAGGAGGCUUGGGGGGACCUUAUUGACCUCUACAACUACCUGACAGUAGCCAGACACCAUCUCAGUGAAGUGACAACAAAGAGUGUAAGGACAUUCCUGCAGGUAUCAGAAGCACCCAGCUGAAAAAAAUUCCUGAAUGGGGCACUGGAAUAAUGGAUAGUGUUUACACAAUGGAUGUACUAAGGAUGUUCUUCCUAUAAUGGCAACUGUCAAGCAAAAGGAGUAUGUCAAAAUAUCAAAAAUUUUGGAGACUACAGCUCUAAAGAAUAAGAUUUCAACAACUAUUUUCAACAACAACAACUAUCUUGGUUAUUUAAGGACAUUUUUCAUAAGUUUGCACCGAAACCAUGUGUCACGCUUCUUUCUAAGAUGACACCCCCUUCAGAGAAGGCAAGGAAAUUACUCAGAGGCAGGCCCUGACCAGUAUAACUGUGUACAAGCAAGAAAAGGGGGUGGAGGGAGAGUCAUCUGGCUGCUUUUUGGAUGGGAAAGCAUCAUUUUGGUAGCCUUAGAAACAAAAACCAUAAGCACAGCUGGCAACCACCUGGCCCCAGGCUAUGCCUUGCCCUUCUCAGAGCACAGCAGGACAGGGUGUGGGCAGUGCUGAGCAGAGAUCCCACAGGAGAACCUGAGCUCUGCAGGAAGUGGUGUCUGACUCAACAGCAAGCACAGCUCAGGGCACUGCACUAUUUCAGGGACUAGGGCUUGAAUGUGAUUUAACACAUACAGCCCAAACUAGAGCCAUCAUCAAAGACUUUGUGGCUGCUCUUGGGAAAAGGCCUAUUCCCAGUGACUUGGUGACAGGCAAAGAGCUACUGUUUGUACUUCCAGAGCUUAGUCACUUUGGAAUUUUAAGCAAGAAGUAAGCAUUCUUCAAUUCCUGUCCUGAGAAACCAAGUGAUGCUGUUCUGAAUGGUUUCUCAGCACUGCCUCAGGGGACACCAUUCCAAUAGAGAUAAAGCUUGUGUGCAUAUCAUUUCUUCAGUGACCCCUU